GCAGGACAAACAGCGACAGAUGUUAGCAGUUAGAGCUCUCCAGGAUCUGAAGCCUCCUACGGAUGAAGCUGGUGAUGAGAAGAGCCCAGUGCUGAGUCGUCUUCGUGGUUGCUGGAUUCGUCUAUGCUUGCAGGGCUGUGAAGGAACGCCUGAGACGGGCGCCCCAGCGGUGUAGCCCGACUACCAGCCGAUUUGCUCAGAUGAGUCAGCAGCAUGAGAAAAACUACACAAUGGAUGAGGCCAAAUAGCAACAGAAAUCGGAGCUAAAUAACAUAAAGAUCCCCUUUGUGUGGCACUGAAGCUGAACAAGACCCUGGGAGUCUACACUGAGACAGGCCUUUCCUGCCUGCCAUGUGGACCUGCCAAGUGAACCGCACCACACCCGGCCACUGACCGCCGACGCCCAGGGACCACAC